rnacentral:lncRNA from 1 species
AGAAGAUUGAACUCUCAACCAUGACAAAUGCGAUGGGGAAAUCUGAGUUGAUGGACUGAAAAUCUUGAAUCUGAAUUCCUUUGAAUCUUCUGAGCCCACAGAAGUAGCCCACUCCUCCCUUUGAAGUAUAAGCUCUAUGAAGGCAGGGGCCACGUCCACCUUGCACUUAGCUUCAACCCCAGGGGACAACAUGAUGCCUGGUUCAUGGUGGGUUAGUGAUAAUUUUUUGAUAAAUGCAUGUAUGAAUAAAUAAGCACCUAAUAUUUGCCAGGCACUGGGCAUAGCCACCUAGGAUAAGAUGAGGAACAAGUCAUGAUCUUGCUUUUGCCAGAGUCUGUAAUAAGAAAACAAAGAAUAAUGAUUACUUCUCAUAAGGUUAUCGUGGAAAUCAAGGAGAUCCUACAAGCAAGCUGAGCAGAGUACCUGGCACAUAGUAAGAUGCUCCUGGUUGGAAUCCCAACAAUGGCCCAAUAAAAGCACAUACAGUUCUUUUUUUUUUUUUGAGGAGGAGGAGGAUUAGCCCUGAGCUAACAUCUGCUGCCAAUUCUCCUCUUUUUGCUUAGGAAGACUGGCCCUGAGCUAACAGCCAUGCCCAUCUUCCUCUACUUUCUAUGUGGGACUCCUACCACAGCAUGGUUUGCCAAGUGGAGCCAUGUCUGCACCCGAGAUCCGAACCAGCAAAGCUUGGGCCGUCAAAGUGGAAUGUGUGCACUUAACCGCUGCACCACCCGGCCGGCCCCCAUACAGUUCAUAUUUUAAUAUGACACAUCACUAUUGUAAUGUGUGAAAAAGAUGUAAGAGGAAGAAAUACAUAGUUUAUGUACCCAGUUUUAAGCAAAUGAGGUAACAUUUCACUAGUGUAAGAAGUGAAAUAUCCUGGAGUUUUUGUUUCAUGUUGAACUCUGAAAGAGUAAAUCAGUGUAUAAAAGGUGGAUUAGAAUGGAGGAAGGUAUGAAUGAACAAAUGAAUGCAGAGGUACAACUGCUGAACACAAUAGCAAGGAAAGGGGGGGUGUUGCAGUUGGGGGAGCGCUGUCUCAGCUAAAACUAAAUCACUUUCAGGAUUUGCACAGCCAGCAUCUCAGCCGGAAACGACUUUCCCUGGAGGGUUCCCAGCCUCCGAGAGCAGAUAUUCUCAAGGGAAGGAAGUUGAUUCAUGAGAUGACUCCUAGGGAGACUGCCAGAAGGAAAAUCUCUCAGGAAAAAAAAAAGAGAGAGAGACCAACAGAGAGAGAAAGAGAGAGAGUGAUCAAGAUGGAAGUGCAUGUUGUAGAGGAUAAAGUCUGUCCUGCAUGCUGUGCAGUGUCCUGGUGAUACUGGCCCGGACUCACUGAUGCUGUCAUGUCCUCAUGGUCUCUAAGUGAUUUGGAACUACAAAUGGAAAGCUGAAGAACACUAUGGCAUUUCUGGCAGUCAAGAUUUGGAAAGUUACACACUAAGAAGCUAUAAUAUGCUUAAGGAUAAUUUCCACCUAAUAAAGAGAACAGAAAUUUUGUUUAUGCAACCAAAUAGAGAGUUACUGUAUAGAGCAUAUAUUUUCUGAAUCAAACAGAACAGAGAAUGACGGCAUUGAGACAUGUAGAAAUACCCUUAUAAUGACAGAGCUGUCAUGUGGAAUCAUGUGUUAUUUCAUGUGUCCAUUCCAUCUGAAUGAGCAAUAAAACCAUCUUGGAAAAGAAUAA